rnacentral:tRNA from 1 species
CAGUGUUUAGUUUAUUUUAGAAUAUGGUGUUUGGGGCAUUGAGGAUGGUUCACUGA